ACAAAUCAUGACGCUGCACCCCACGGUUUACGUUGUAGGGGGCGCCAAAGAUAACCCAAAAAUCCACAUUCUUACAAGUCUUAUAACUUUUUAUUUCUGUCCUCACUGGCCUCCAAGUUUUCAAGGAUGAUGCAAUGUCCAGCCAUCAACACAUUUGUGAAGGAAUUUUUACUCCCCAAAAGAGUGCCCCCCCAUGGCAGGAGAAAAAAGGCCAUUUUUUCUUGUCCUAUAAGGUGAAAAUACACAUUGUUGAGUGUCACGCCUGUACGCUUUGUCAUAUUGAAACAAAAUUUGUUAAUCACGUGUAUCUCAAUAAGAUCUACGAAAAAGUCAAUGCGCACGUGUCUGCAAAAUGUACGGUUAAAGGGCUAUUUCGCAUUUUUGGUUGAUUCGCAUACAUUGGAAUGUGGCUAACUCCUCCUAAAGCUUUUGUUCCACCGGCACCAAAUUUGCUCAGGCCAAUCUACACCCCAUGGCCAUUAAAAGUUGUACAAAUCAUGAUGCUGCACCCCACGGUUUACGUUCUAGGGGUCGCCAAAGAUAACCCAAAAAUCCACAUUCUUAAAAGUCUUAUAACUUUUCAUUUUUGUCCUCACUGGCUUCAAAGUUUUCUAGGAUGAUGCAAUGUCUAGCCAUCAACACAUUUGUGAAGGAAUUUUUUCUCCCUAAAAGAGUGCCCCCCCAUGGCAGGAGAAAAAGUCAAGUUUUUCCUGCCCAUCGCUCAAUGGCUCAAACACAUCGCUCUCUCGGAAAAAAACGAAAGGAGGAGGAACUUGCCAUUUGGAUAUAUCCUAGCUGUGUUUGUGCCCUCACUCAUGGUCCAGACUUUUUUCAAAUAGGACAUGUAGUUUGUCUGCAGCAAGCGUUUUGGUAGAAACUGCGCCUCCCAUUCAUUAUAAUGGUAAAUGACCACAGACAAGUGCGCACACCAUCGUUGAACCUUGAGUGUGACGCGAUCGGGAGGGAGAGGCGGUCGUGUUGGGGGCGGCGUGACACAGCUCGGGCCCGCCAGUGCCCCAACGGGGCCCUAGUUUCUUUUUCCUCCCCUUUGAACUGGAAAAUGGCCCACUUCCCACUGGCGAAAACUCAUGAAAUUUGGCAGGACGACCGGGCCUGGUGAAAAAUUUGAUAUUCUGAAGUCGCCCAAACAAUACAAUGCAAAAUGGCUCCAUAGCGCCCCCUAAGGUGAAAAAUUCACCUGACGCCUGUACGCUUUGUCAAAAUGACAGAAAAAUUGACACACACAUGUAUCUCAAUAAGAUCUACAAAAAAGUCAGUGCGGGCGUAUUUGUCAAAUGUACGGUUAAAGGGUUAUUUCGCAUUUUUUGCCGAUCUGCACACAUUGGAAUUUCGCUAACUCCUCCGAAGGCUUUCGUUCCACCAGCACCACAUUUGCUCAGGCCAAUCUACACCCCAUGGCCAUUAAAAGUUAUUCAAAUCAUGACGCUGCACCCCACGGUUUAGGUUCUAGGGGGCGCCAAAGAUAACCCUAAAAUCCACAUAUUUCAAAGUCUUAUAACUUUUUAUUUUUGCCCUCACUGGCCUCCAAGUUUUCUAGGAUGAUGCAAUGUCCAGCCAUCAACACAUUUGUGAAGGAAUUUUUACUCUCCAAAAGAGCGCCCCCCCCCCAUGGCAGGAGAAAAAAGUCCAUUUUUUCUUGUCCCCUAAGGUGAAAAUACACAUUGUAGAGUGUCACGCCUGUACGCUUUGUCAAAAUGACACAAAAUUUGACAUACACGUGUAUUUCAAUAAGGUCUUCGAAAAGGUCAAUGGCCACGUAUCUGUAAAAUGUACGGUUAAAGGGUUAUUUCGCAUUUUUUGCAGAUCCGCACACAUUGGAAUUUCGCUAACUCCUCCGAAGGCUUUCGUUCCACCGGCACCACAUUUGCUCAGGCCAAUCUACACCCCAUGGCCAUUAAAAGUUAUUCAAAUCAUGACGCUGCACCCCACGGUUUACGUUCUAGGGGGCGCCAAAGAUGACCCAAAUAUCCCCAUUUUUUGAAGUCUUAUAACUUUUUAUUUUUGUCCUGACUGGCCUUUUGUCCCACUGACACCAAAUUUGCUCAGGCCAAUCUACACCCCAUGGCCAUUCAAAGUUGUACAAAUCAUGACGCUGCACCCCACGGACAACAAUGAAGCUCCAUCCAAACCUGAAGCAGGCAGUUGGUGCAUGUGUACAGUACCCUGAGGGGAGUGAGGUGACUGCUUCUGAGGAGAACAUGAGCAGUGAAGAUUCACCUUGGAGCUAGAACAGAGACGUGUACAUGAUUAUACAGGGGCAGGGGCUCAAGUUUUUUCCAGUCGUUUAUACAAUAUGGAAAUUAAUGUGAAAUUAAAAAACAAAGUAUUAAUAGAAAGGUAAUGACUGUCCUGUGUAGGUGACAGUGAUAUCCAAUAGGCUAGGCACUCACGAGGCUGGCUGUGGCAAGUGUAAGUGAAAGCAACACACACUGGCAGGAAGAACAGCAAACGCAGAUGAAGGAAAAGGGUCUUUGCAGUGAUGGGCGUUACCAGAGAGGUCGAUGGCCAGAGGAUGCGAAUGGGACGGGGAGGCAGCGCGUUGGGGGGGGCGGCGCGACACGGCUCGGGCCCGCCAGUGCCCCAACGGGGCCCUAGUCUUCUUCUUCUUCUUCUUAUUAUUAUUAGGGCCCGAGCCAGCUGCAGAGCAGCCGGGCGUAGAGCCCUAUUAUUCCCCAAGUGGUUUUUCUUUGUUUCUUUCUUUCUUUAGGGCCCGAGCGUAGCUGCUAAGCAGCUGCGAGAGCCCUAUUAUUCCUGAUGGAUUCUUCUUUCUUCUUCUUCUUCUUCUUAUUAUUUUUCUGCCCCUUUGAACUGGAAAAUGGCCCACUUCCCACUGGUGAAAAGUCAUGAAAUUUGGCAGGACGACCGGGCCUGGUGAAAAAUUCGAUAUUCUGAAGUCGCCCAAAAAAUCAAAUGCAAAAUGGCUCCAUAGCGCCCCCUAAGGUGAAAAAUUCACAUGAUUGAGUGUCACGCCUGUACGCUUUGUCAAAAUGACACAAAAUUUGACACACACGUGUAUCUCAAUAAGAUCUACAAAAAAGUCAGUGCGGCCGUAUCUGUCAAAUGUACGGUUAAAGGGCUAUUUCGCAUUUUUUGCCGAUCCGCACACAUUGGAAUUUCGCUAACUCCUCCGAAGGCUUUCGUUCCACCGGCACCAAAUUUGCUCAGGCCAAUCUACACCCCAUGGCCAUUAAAAGUUGUACAAAUCAUGACGCUGCAUCCCACGGUUUACGUUCUAGGGGGCGCCAAAGAUAACCCAGAAAUCCACAUUCUUAAAAGUCGUAUAACUUUUUAUUUUUGUCCUCACUGGCCUCCAAGUUUUCUAGGAUGAUGCAAUGUCCAGCCAUCAACACAUUUGUGAAGGAAUUUUUACUCCCCAAAAGAGCGCCCCCCCAUGGCAGGAGAAAAAAGUCCAUUUUUUCUUGUCUCCUAAGGCGAAAAUUCACACUAUUGACUGUCACGCCUUUACGCUUUGUCAUAUUGACACAAAAAUUGACACACACAUGUAUCUCAAUAAGAUCUACAAAAAAGUCAGUGCGGGCGUAUCUGUCAAAUGUACGGUGAAAGGGCUAUUUCGCAUUUUUUGCCGAUCCGCACACAUUGGAAUUUCGCUAACUCCUCUGAAGGCUUUCGUUCCAAAGGCACCACAUUUGCUGAGGCCAAUCUACACCCCAUGGCCAUUAAAAGUUGUACAAAUCAUGAUGCUGCACCCCACGGUUUACGUUCUAGGGGGCGCCAAAGAUAACCCAAAAAUCCACAGUCUUAAAAGUCUUAUAACUUUUUAUUUUUGUCCUCACUGGCCUCCAAGUUCUCUAGGAUGAUGCAAUGUCCAGCCAUCAACACAUUUGUGAAGGAAUUUUUACUCGCCAAAAGAGCGCCCCCCCAUGGCAGGAGAAAAAAGUCCAUUUUUUCUUGUCUCCUAAGGCGAAAAUACACAUUGUUGACUGUCACGCCUUUACGCUUUGUCAAAAUGACACAAAAUUUGACACACACAUGUAUCUCAAUAAGAUCUACAAAAAAGUCAGUGCGGGCGUAUCUGUCAAAUGUACGGUUAAAGGGUUAUUUCGCAUUUUUUGCCGAUCCGCACACAUUGGAAUUUCGCUAACUCCUCCUAAAUCUUUUGUCCCAUCGGCUUCAAAUUUGCUCAGGUCAAUCUACACCCCAUGGCCAUUAAAAGUUAUUCAAAUCAUGACGCUGCACCCCACGGUUUAGGUUCUAGGGGGCGCCAAAGAUAACCCUAAAAUCCACAUAUUUAAAAGUCUUAUAACUUUUUAUUUUUGUCCUCACUGGCCUCCAAGUUUUCUAGGAUGAUGCAAUGUCCAGCCAUCAACACAUUUGUGAAGGAAUUUUUACUCCCCAAAAGAGCGCCCCCCCAUGGCAGGAGAAAAAAGUCCAUUUUUUCUUGUCCCCUAAGGUGAAAAUACAUAUUGUUGAGAUUCACGCCUAUACGCUUUGUCAUAUUGACACAAAAUUUGACAAUCACGUGCCUUGCCUGGUAUCAUUUUUUUCAGCACAACCUCACCUGUGCGAAUUUACAGUUAUUUUAUCAUGUUGACAUACUGAAUUUACACAAUGGACCCAAAUUCACACACAAAACAUAAAAUCCGAGUGGAAAAAAGUAACAUUUUUACUGUGAAAACCACAAAUAUGUGUGAUGAACUGUUUUUAAAACUUAAACUUCAAAUAAAAAUUGUAAACUUCAAAACAUAUGCAAAUUUUUAACAAAGAACAUAGUGAUUUACCUCUAUUUACAUCAAAAUGCAGGCAAUGGCCCAGGCGUUCUUUGUAAAAUUAUUUACAAAACACUGUAUAGUCUCACAAAUGUCACUUUUUAUUUAUGCCACUACAAAAAAACAUGAUGUAAAUGAUGCAUGAUGUAAAACAUGAUGUAAAAAACUUGUGUAGAUCCUCCUCUAUGUCAGUCCAUGUGUAAUUUUUCCAUAAUUCUUUGUUUUUUGCAGCAUUUUUGUUAGUGUAACUGCAGAUUGUGCUGACAGUGUCUAUGGCACAAAAAAAAAAAAAUUUUUAAAUGCCUCAACAUGAACCCCUGGUGGUCUCUGAGGGUGAAACCUGCUAACUGCUGCAGCUCUGUCAGCUUCAGUCUCCCAUGCAGAGCUCUGAGCGCAUGUGUGGCUCUGCACCCUUAGCAGCGUUGCUAACUCCUCAGUAAGGAAAGCCUGCUUCAUGUCAGAGUCUCUAAACUCCAGAAGAAGUCGAUAAAAGUCCCUUUCUUUCUAAAAAAAGUCGUUAGGGGGUCUGAAAAGUCAUUGAAUCUAACAACAAAGUCGCUAGGUUUGCAACUACGUGUCCCAGACUGCAUCCCUGCUGAGAGUCCCUCCCUCCCUUCUCAUGUUGCAGGAAGAACGUAAGCGCCCGCCCCUUCUCAAUCAGUCACCAUAUAAUUUUGGAUUGGUUGUUGUGGUGAAGUUUUCCACCAAUAGGAGAGAUGUUGUGGUGUGUUUUUUUUUUCUUUUGGCAAGCCUUUUCCGCCUGUAAAACCUGUCGCUAAUGUCUGCAUGCUAUGUUUUCCUGUCUCAUACAGCGCGAUCGAGCGCCGACGUGAUCAAAAUAAGCAGAAAAAAAGUAUCGCGGACAUAAUUUAUUAUAACUCUGGUUUUAUUUGGCCUAUCAACACAAUUUAAAAACUGGUAUAUAGGUUGAGGUCCUCACUUUUGAGAUAGGUUGAAACGGAGAGUCAACGAGGCUCCGUCUUGCAGCUACAUCCGGUUAAAUAUGUCAUGUGACUUGAACGCACACACAGACACACACACACACACACACACACACACACACACACACACACACACACACACACACACACACACACUCAGAGUCUGGUUUUUAGCACCUGCAAAAACAUGCUAUUUACAUAUUUGACAAGAAUGCAGAGGCUCCUUUUGCCCCUGAAAAAAAUCAAAUUUCAAACACAACUUGACUGGUCAUUUCUCCAAAAGACAACCAUGAAGCUCCAUCCAAACCUGAAGCAGGCAGUUGGUGCAUGUGUACAGUAACCUGAGGGGAGUGAGGUGAGUGCUUCUGAGGAGAACAUGAGCAGUGAAGAUUCACCUUGGAGCUAGAACAGAGACAUGCACAUGAUUAUACAGGGGCAGGGGCUCAAGUUUUUUCCAGUUGUUUAUACAAUAUGGAAAUUAAUGUGAAAUUAAAACACAAAGUAUUAAUAGAAAGGUAAUGACUGUCCUGUGUAGGUGACAGUGAUAUCCAAUAGGCUAGGCACUCACGAGGCUGGCUGUGGCAAGUGUAAGUGAAAGCAACACGCACUGGCAGGAAGAACAGCAAACGCCGAUGAAGGAAAAGGGUCUUUGCAGUGAUGGGCGUUACCAGAGAGGGCGAUGGCCAGAGGACACAAAUGGGACGGGAAGGCAGCACGUUGGGGGGGGGGGGACGCGACACGGCUCGGGCCCGCCAGUGCCCCAACGGGGUCCUAGUUAUUUUUCUGCCCCUUUGAACUGGAAAAUGGCCCACUUCCCACUGGUGAAAACUCAUGAAAUUUGGCAGGACGACCGGGCCUGGUGAAAAAUUCGAUAUUCUGAAGUCGGCCAAACAAUCAAAUGCAAAAUGGCUCCAUAGCGCCCCCUAAGGUGAAAAAUUCACAUGAUUGAGUGUCACGGCUGUACGCUUUGUCAAAAUGACACAAAAUUUGACACACACGUGUAUCUCAAUAAGAUCUACAAAAAAGUCAGUGCGGGCGUAUCUGUCAAAUGUACGGUUAAAGGGUUAUUCCGCAUUUUUUGCCGAUCCGCACACAUUGGAAUUUCGCUAACUCCUCCGAAGGCUUUCGUUCCACCGGCACCAAAUUUGCUCAGGCCAAUCUACACCCCAUGGCCAUUCAAAGUUGUACAAAUCAUGACGCUGCACCCCACGGUUUACGUUGUAGGGGGCGCCAAAGAUAACCCAAAAAUCCACAUUCUUACAAGUCUUAUAACUUUUUAUUUUUGUCCUCACUGGCCUCCAAGUUUUCUAGGAUGAUGCAAUGUCCAGCCAUCAACACAUUUGUGAAGGAAUUUUUACUCCCCAAAAGAGCGCCCCCCGAUGGCAGGAGAAAAAAGGCCAUUUUUUCUUGUCCUAUAAGGUGAAAAUACACAUUGUUGAGUGUCACGCCUGUACGCUUUGUCAUAUUGAAACAAAAUUUGAUAAUCACGUGUAUCUCAAUAAGAUCUACGAAAAAGUCAAUG